UAGAUUGAAGCCAGUUGACUAGGGUAUUUAGCUGUUAACUAAAUUUUCGUGGGGUUGGAGCCCACCAGUCUAG
rnacentral:tRNA from 3 species